UUAUGGCUCAGGACGAACGCUGGCGGCGUGCCUAACACAUGCAAGUCGAGCGAUGAAGCCCUUCGGGGUGGAUUAGCGGCGGACGGGUGAGUAACACGUGGGUAACCUGCCUCAAAGAGGGGGAUAGCCUCCCGAAAGGGAGAUUAAUACCGCAUAACAUUAUUUCUUCGCAUGAAGAGAUAAUCAAAGGAGUAAUCCGCUUUGAGAUGGACCCGCGGCGCAUUAGCUAGUUGGUGAGGUAAUGGCUCACCAAGGCGACGAUGCGUAGCCGACCUGAGAGGGUGAUCGGCCACAUUGGAACUGAGAUACGGUCCAGACUCCUACGGGAGGCAGCAGUGGGGAAUAUUGCGCAAUGGGGGAAACCCUGACGCCAGCAACGCCGCGUGGGUGAAGAAGGCCUUCGGGUUGUAAAGCUCUGUCUUCUGGGACGAUAAUGACGGUACCAGAGGAGGAAGCCACGGCUAACUACGUGCCAGCAGCCGC
rnacentral:rRNA from 1 species